rnacentral:rRNA from 1 species
UACGGAGGUGGCAAGCGUUACUCGGAUUGAUUGGGUGUAAAGGGUGUGUAGGUGGCUUGACAAGUCGAAUGUGAAAUACCAUGGCUCAACCAUGGAACUGCAUUCGAAACUGUCUUGCUUGAGCGACGGAGAGGUAGAUGGAAUUCCCGGUGUAACAGUGAAAUGUGUAGAUAUCGGGAGGAACACCAGUGGCGAAGGCGAUCUACUGGACGUAUGCUGACACUGAAACACGAGAGCUAGGGGAGCAAACAGG